AUUCCUAAGUGGACUCUAAUAAUUUAAAACUAUUAAAAGUAUCUAUUCUUACUUUAUUUCUGAGACAUAUCUUCAACAGGGUACUUGCCUAAGGUCGGCUCAAGUGGCUGAGCCUACGUCAUAAUUUGUGGCAGCAGGGGCCUGCGUUCGCGCGGCCCCUAC